CAGUCGCCGCGGUAAUACGAAGGGUGCAAGCGUUAAUCGGAAUUACUGGGCGUAAAGCGUGCGUAGGCGGUUUGUUAAGUCUGCUGUGAAAUCCCCGGGCUCAACCUGGGAAUGGCAGUGGAUACUGGCAAGCUAGAGUGUGUCAGAGGAUGGUGGAAUUCCCGGUGUAGCGGUGAAAUGCGUAGAGAUCGGGAGGAACAUCAGUGGCGAAGGCGGCCAUCUGGGACAACACUGACGCUGAGGCACGAAAGCGUGGGGAGCAAACAGGAUUAGAUACCCCGGUAGUCCCUGUCUCUUAUAA
rnacentral:rRNA from 1 species